rnacentral:snRNA from 1 species
AGGCUUCGGCAGCGCAUAUACUAAUAUUGGAACGAUUCAGAGAAGAUUAGCAUGGCCCCUGCACAAGGAUGACACACAAAUUCAUGAAGCGUUCCAUAUUUUU